rnacentral:rRNA from 1 species
UACGGGGGGGGCAAGCGUUUGUUCGGAAUUACUGGGCGUAAAGGGCUCGUAGGCGGCCAACUAAGUCAGACGUGAAAUCCCUCGGCUUAACCGGGGAACUGCGUCUGAUACUGGAUGGCUUGAAUCCGGGAGAGGGAUGCGGAAUUCCAGGUGUAGCGGUGAAAUGCGUAGAUAUCUGGAGGAACACCGGUGGCGAAGGCGGCAUCCUGGACCAAUUCUGACGCUGAGUGAGCGAAAGCCAGGGGAGCAAAGCGGG